UACAGAGGGUGCAAGCAUUAAUCGGAUUUAUUGGGCGUAAAGGGCGCGUAGGCGGUAAGAUAAGUCAGAUGUGAAAUCCCGGGGCUCAACCCCGGAACAGCAUUUGAAACUGUCUUUCUAGAGGGUAGGCGGAGAAAACGGAAUUCCACAAGUAGCGGUGAAAUGCGUAGAUAUGUGGAAGAACACCGGUGGCGAAGGCGGUUUUCUAGCUUAUUCCUGACGCUAAUGCGCGAAAGCAAGGGGAUCAAACAGG
rnacentral:rRNA from 1 species